UACGGGGGGGGGCAAGCGUUGUUCGGAAUUACUGGGCGUAAAGGGCGCGUAGGCGGCCUUCUAAGUCGAACGUGAAAUCCCCGGGCUCAACCCGGGAACUGCGUCCGAUACUGGAAGGCUUGAAUCCGGGAGAGGGAUGCGGAAUCCAGGUGUAGCGGUUGAAAUGCGUAGAUAUCUGGAGGAACACCGGUGGCGAAGGCGGCAUC
rnacentral:rRNA from 1 species